AGUAAAUACAUUAUAAAGCACUAUCGUAACAAUUAUUUUAUCCUUUUUUAUUGGGAAAGGUUGAUGAUUGCUGCUCUACAUUUUAAUGAGAAUUCCUCAAGGCUGCAUGACAUGACGAAGGAGGGGGACCAACAAUUUGAAAUCAGCUUCCCGAAGUUCAAGUGUUCGUAGGAAGCCUGUUGAUCCAACAAUUACCCAUCAGUCCUGAUGAAGGAGACUUAUUUGGUUUUUCAAGGGUCAUCAGAACCAUUACCAUGCUCAUUGCCAGCUCAACCACCUCCACUGUGCAGUGAAUUUUUCCAUCCUGAUAAAGAAGAAGCAGAGCUACAUUUUACAUCGAGGUUCAGUCGAAAGGAGACAUCCGUGUGAAUGUGAACAAAACGUAAUACUAGUUAUUUGGACAUUCUAGCAAAGCAGAUAAAAAAUAUGUUGGUCAUACAGAUGUGCUCUAUUUUAAUCUUGUUUAAAAAUGUUAAAUCACUGUGAAACACUUUUAUCUUUGGUUUUGUUUAAAUUUGAACCAAAGUCAUAUAGAGUAGUAGGUUGUGAAAACAAAUUUUGUUAUUUUUUACAAAUAAAAAAAGACUGGGAACAACCAUGAUAUAGGAUCUGACCCUUGGGUAACAAUCUGUUUGGUCUUGCAUGCAACAGUGUAUUUUUGCAAAUAAUUUAUAGAAUGAAAUAUUAGCAUAGUAUAUGUAGUAUUAGCUUUAUAGUAUAUAUAAUAGUUGUAAGAGUUAAAAAAUGGAAACAUGAAAGCAGGGUCCUUGUCCCGUUCCUGGGUGCGGACACAUUUUAUUUGAAAUAUUGUUUGUGUAGCUGAUGCUUUCUAGAAAAUUGAUGUAUUAUUUUUGGGCCAUUUCUGUUAGAAUGUUGUGCUUGAAUUUUGUUGUAUGCAAUCAUGUAUGAAUCGUACAUUUGUUUUAAAAAAAAGUUGCUUCAACUAAAGCAUACCAUCACUCUGGUGCAUUGAAUCCUUGAUACUCCUCAGAGGCAAAGGAAUUCCGUCACAGCACAUGAGGGUAGAGGGACUCGCACCUUGUGCCCUAGGUAUCCUUAGCACCAUCAAACAAAUUGCCUGUGUGUUAUGUAUCUGUUACGCCUGCAAUUCCGGGAAAUGUUUGGAAUUAUUCACUAAUGAUAAACUAGCAAUCGGACCCAAUGGUCAUGUGAAUUUUGUAUUGAUUAAAUCAAUAAAAAAAAAUUGACUUGCUCUUCAAUUGUUGCCCUCAUUUCUCCAUACUGGGUAUUGGUAUUAUGCCGUCUCGAGCUCAUGCACAUCUAAACACACUGAUGAAAACCCAGGGUGUUCAGUAAAGCAGGCCAGUUCCUUGUUGAAUGACUCCCCUCUUCUCAUCAACCCUUGGCAAUUCGGUGCAGCAUACACUUUCCUUGGCAGCUGACAUAUGGGAAUAGAAUCCACAUUGACACCUAAAAUGAUUUGUAAACCAUGUGAAUUUGUGAAAGAAUAGAGAACUCAAUAAUGGGGAAAAGAUAAGACAAUUCUCCUCUAGAUGAUAAUUUUUAAAAAUUCUUUGAAAAAUUGUAAGUACAGAUAUAACAGUAUAAAGGGGGUGUCACAUGAGAGGAUAGAAAAUCAAUGUUAUUUUCCAGCUCUUUCCCAAUGAAGUAAUGAGCGAAAAUACACCACAGGAACAAAUAAUUUUGUCUGUAAUAAUAGUAGCCCUAUUGAUAAUUGAAGGUAUAUACCAUACCACUCCCUAAUUACUAAGGGGUGGUAUGGUACACACCAGUGCGACCACUAACAUUGUUAUUACAGACAAAAUGACAGAUUCCUGUGAA